UGGUUCAGGGGUAUGAGGAGACAGGGCUGCUGAGCCUGAAGCUGCAUCUGUUGGGCCUGGCACCAGACACCCAUUUAGCAUGAAUAGCUUGAUAAAAGUUUGCCUGCAUUGAUUAAAUGUCGGCUAAAAGAGGAGCGAAAUGUAAACACUCUGAAUUUUCUGUAUAGAUAUUAAGUAUAGUUAUGUUAGGGGAGCAAAAGUUGCCUAUUUUUCUAUGGACUAAGCUAGCAGGUUAACUUCCACCUCUCACGGACUACACCCACCUUCCUUUGUGAAAAAUUGUGUGACAUACUGACGCUCUUUCUUUUCUCUCUCCUGUCUUCUUUAAAUUUCUUUUUCGUUUUUGGAAGCUAGAUUUUUCUGAGACAUGAUGCUCCACCGGCACUCCUCACUCGCAAGGUUGGGGCGUUGGGCAAUACAGAGACUCUCUAGAUGUUUACUUUUUGCCAAAAAACAAGAAAAGAAAAAGUACCCCUCCUUCACACACACACACAUACACACACACGCCACAAGGAGUCGCUAGAGCGGACGUUGCUCGGCCAAUUGUGCAGUGCCCUAUGGAACUCUCAGUCACGGCCAGUUGUGACACAGCCUGGGAUCGAAACCGGGUCUGUAGUGACGCCUCAAGCACUGCGAUGCUAUUUUUGGGACGACUCGCUGCCUGCCCCUUGGGAUAAAAGGAGCCGGUUGUGCUGGCGCUGCACAUCAGGUGAAAGGCUAAUUGUCCUGUUGGCCUUGUCCGUGAAGGAGAAAGAGUACCACUGGACAAACACAAACACACACUUAGAUAUACACACAAACACACACACAACACAAACACACGCUCACACUUCUGCACAGGCCCAUAGGCUUGGCCAGGGAGUAGCUUGGAGGCAGAGAAACCAUCUGAUCAGCAUUAAUUCAGAAGAUAAGACCAAGAAAAUAGGAAGAGGGACAGUGAAAGAAAGAGGGAGAGACUUGUGUGUAAUGAGAUCCACGCACCCUCCAUCCAUCUAAUGGCAGCAGUGAUCAUAGCUCACAGCGUACCCAAUGGUGAAGAGACUGACAUGAGCAGUAUGGUGGUGCUGACACAGUCAUCCAACGCUCAUCCUGAGGCUAUUAGGAGGGUGGUGUGUGUGUGUGUGUGUGUGUGUGUGUGUGUGUGUGUGUGUGUGUGUGUGUGUGUGUGUGUGUGUGUGUGUG